rnacentral:lncRNA from 1 species
UAGCUUUCCAGAGUGACUGAAGUGUUUUGCACUCCCACCAGCAAUGUGUGGGAGUUCCAGUUGCUCCACAUUUUUGCCAAUACUUCUAUCAUUCUUUUCUAGUCUAUCUCAGCCUACAGGAAUGCAAAACACUCUUCACUGCUCCAUGAGUUACCCAAAUUUUAAACGGCUGAUGCCCCGGCUGAGGAGGGAGGACACGCCUGCAUUUCACAACUGGUUGUGAUCACAUCUGGCGCAGGGCCUAGGUCAGAGCCACGGAUCUGUCAACAUGACCUCUUUCGAUCACUGCAGAGUGUGCAGGAGGGCUUAAGUUCCUAGAAACGGACCAGAUGUGAAACCCAUCCAAAUGGAAUGAGCUCUUCUGAAGAACCUUGCUUAGUGGCAGGAGACGAGUUCUGUGUCAGAGUCUGAAGCCUAGAUCCUGGACCCAAAGCCACAACUUGCUGCAGGCCUGGCCAAGCUGCCGUGGGUCCUCGAGGGUGGCUCACUUCGCCACGAAGCCUGUUCCUCCUUCCUUUAUUUGACAUUCAUCUGCUCCUUUGGGAAGAGCCACCUCUGCUCACCACACUAGCAGCAUGCAGCACUGGCCUCACUCUGAAAUUAGCUGCUUUUUAGUAGACUCCUGUUUCUAAUUGUCACUUCCUGGAGGCAGAGUCAGCCAGCCCCUCUCAUGGCUUCUCAGUUCUCCAGCUGGGAUUUCUGGAGGCCACUGGGAGGCCACUUGCAUUUUUGCUGCCUUCCAACC